rnacentral:rRNA from 1 species
UAGAGAUGGAGUGACACAGUAGGAUAAGCUAACCGUACUGUUGGUUAUGUACGGCUAAGCAUUGAGGCAGUCUAAAUAGGCAAAUCCGUUUAGACAAUGCUAGGAUGUGAUGGGGAAGCCCUUCGGGGCGAAGUAGCUGAUUUCACACUGUCAAGAAAAGCUUCUAUCGAGUUUAAAGGCGCCCGUACCGUAAACCGACACAGGUGGGUGAGGAGAGUAUCCUAAGGCCAGCGAGAGAACUAUUGUUAAGGAACUCGGCAAAAUGACCCCGUAACUUAGGGAGAAGGGGUGCCUGUCUAUGACAGGCCGCAGAGAAUAGGCCCAAGCGACUGUUUACCAAAAACACAGGUUUCUGCUAAGUCGCAAGACGAUGUAUAGGAGCUGACGCCUGCCCGGUGCUGGAAGGUUAAGGGGAUCUGUUAGAGCAAUCGAAGCAGUGAACUUAAGCCCCAGUAAACGGCGGCCGUAACUAUAACGGUCCUAAGGUAGCGAAAUUCCUUGUCGGGUAAGUUCCGACCCGCACGAAAGGCGUAACGAUUUGGGCACUGUCUCAACAAUAGACUCGGUGAAAUUGUAAUCCCGGUGAAGAUGCCGGGUACCUGCGACAGGACGGAAAGACCCCAUGGAGCUUUACUGUAGCUUGACGUUGGGUCUUGGUACUACAUGUACAGGAUAGGUGGGAGACUAUGAAGCAUGGACGCCAGUCUGUGUGGAGUCAUCCUUGGGAUACCACCCUUGUAGUACUGGGAUCCUAACCAUAGGCCUUGAAUCAGGUCUUGGAACACCGUCAGGUGGGCAGUUUGACUGGGGCGGUCGCCUCCUAAAAAGUAACGGAGGCGCUCAAAGGUUUCCUCAGCACGGUCGGAAAUCGUGCGAAGAGUGUAAAGGCAAAAGGAAGCUUGAUUGCAAGACAUACAGGUCGAGCAUGGACGAAAGUCGGACUUAGUGAUCCGGUGGUACCGCAUGGAAGGGCCAUCGCUCAACGGAUAAAAGCUACCCUGGGGAUAACAGGCUUAUCUCCCCCAAGAGUCCACAUCGACGGGGAGGUUUGGCACCUCGAUGUCGGCUCAUCACAUCCUGGGGCUGUAGUAGGUCCCAAGGGUUGGGCUGUUCGCCCAUUAAAGUGGUACGCGAGCUGGGUUCAGAACGUCGUGAGACAGUUCGGUCCCUAUCCGUCGCAGGCGUAGGAAAUUUGAGAAGACCUGUCCUUAGUACGAGAGGACCGGGAUGGACGUACCUCUGGUGCACCAGUUGUUCUGCCAAGGGCAUGGCUGGGUAGCUAUGUACGGAAUGGAUAAGCGCUGAAAGCAUCUAAGCGCGAAGCCAACUUCAAGAUAAGAUUUCCCACCGUAAGGGUAAGACCCCAGGAAGACUACCUGGUUGAUAGGUCGAAGGUGUAAGUGCAGUAAUGUAUUUAGCUUAUCGAUACUAAUAGGUCGAGGACUUGACCU